rnacentral:ncRNA from 1 species
AUGACCUUUGUGGGAGAGUUCGGAUUUAUUCCGUCACCGAAGGAGCAAAUUCCCAAAAAUAACCUUGGGCGUUAAUCUCUCAGGUCCAAAGACCACAAUGGGAAG